UUUAUCGAAUACAUUUUUCUCGGUUUAUUUUUUUUUUUGCCUUCGUAUACAAUUAUCUCCAAGUAUCUUUUUCGAUAAGAACAAUUCAUAAAAAAAAGUAUUUCAUUUCUUUUAUAAAAAAGAUUAGUUUGAUGUUUUUUAUUAUUUAUCCGACGAAUUUAAUAAAGAUGCACGAUACGCGGGCGUGGAAUCUUUGCAAGAUUAACUUUCAUUCAAGAUAAUGAUAUAAUAUCAGCGAGAUGACUGAGCGAUAAAUAACGUAAACGAUGACUGAGCGAUAAACAACGUUGGCGAUGACUGCAAGAGAUAAAAGCACUUAAAGAAAACGGGGACUUUUUAAUAACUAUACUUUUUUUUUCUUCAGCUUUGCACUUAUUCGACGUACGGAGACGAAAAUAAAAAUGUCUCUCAUAAAUUAUCUUUUUUUUCGUUGAUGCAGAUUUUUAAAGAACAACCGAAACUAAAAAGACAGAAAGGAAAA
rnacentral:lncRNA from 1 species